rnacentral:tRNA from 1 species
GCCGCGUUCGUCUAGUCUGGCCCAGGACGUGAGAUUUUCAUUCUCAAAAUCGCGGGUUCGAAUCCCGCACGCGGUACCA